rnacentral:rRNA from 1 species
GACGUAGGGGGCAAGCGUUGUUCGGAAUUAUUGGGCGUAAAGCGCUCGUAGGCGGCCUGUUACGUCUGCUGUGAAAUCCCGGGGCUUAACCCCGGGCGUGCAGUGGAUACGGGCAGGCUGGAGGCAGGCAGGGGAGAACGGAAUUCCCGGUGUAGCGGUGAAAUGCGCAGAUAUCGGGAGGAACACCUGUGGCGAAAGCGGCUCACUGGACCAUAACUGACGCUGAUGCACGAAAGCUGGGGGAGCAAACAGG